AAACCCCCUCGCCGAAAGACUAAGGUUUCCUGAUCAACGCUAAUCGGAUCAGGGUCAGUCGGGUCCUAAGGCUCAGCCGAACGGCGAUGCCGAUGGCAGAAACGGUUAAUAUUCCGUUACUACCUUCAGGAGUGACGUGGAGACGCAGUAGUGACAGUGCCGCCAUCUGACGGAAUAGAUGGUUGAAGGGUGUAGGAGUCGAUCAUGGCAGGCAAAUCCACCAUGAGAUCCGAACCUGAUAGUAUGCCGCGUCCUUCGGGACAAGGCAAUAGUGCGCGUAAGCAUGCUGCCGAGAAAAUCCGCUAAACUUAAUCCUGCAGGUACCCGUACCGCAAACGGACACACGUAGUCGGGAUGAAUAUUCUAAGGCGCUUGAGUGAUUCACGGUUAAGGAACUAGGCAAACUGACCCUGUAACUUCGGGAUAAAGGGUCCCUACCCUUUUAUGGGAGGGCGCAGAGAAUCGGUCCAGGCAACUGUUUAACAAAAACACAGGGCUGUGCCAAAUCGAAAGAUCCAGUAUACAGCCUGACACCUGCCCGGUGCUGGAAGGUUAAGAGGAGAUGUCAUCGAUAAGAGAAGCGUUGAAUUGAAGCCCCAGUAAACGGCGGCCGUAACUAUAACGGUCCUAAGGUAGCGAAAUUCCUUGUCGGGUAAGUUCCGACCUGCACGAAUGGUGUAAUGAUCUGGACGCUGUCUCAACCGUGAGCUCAGUGAAAUUGUAGUAUCGGUGAAGAUGCCGAUUACCCGCGAUGGGACGAAAAGACCCCGUGAACCUUUACUAUAGCUUAUCAUUGAAUCUGGGCACGUGAUGUGUAGGAUAGGUCGGAGGCUUUGAAGCAGGUACGCCAGUAUUUGUGGAGCCGCUGUUGAAAUACGACCCUUUAUUUGUUUGGAUUCUAACCCGUGGAACGGGGACAUUGAUUGGUGGGUAGUUUGACUGGGGUGGUCGCCUCCAAAAGCGUAACGGAGGCUUCUAAAGGUGCCCUCCGGCCGAUUGGUAACCGGCCUUAGAGUGUAAUGGCAUAAGGGCGCUUGACUGGGAGACUGACAAGUCGAUCAGGUAGGAAACUAGAGCAUAGUGAUCCGGUGUUUCCGUAUGGAAGGGACAUCGCUCAAAGGAUAAAAGGU
rnacentral:rRNA from 1 species